UACAGAGGGGGCAAGCGUUAUUCGGAAUUAUUGGGCGUAAAGGGCGCGUAGGCGGUAUGGCAAGUGGAAGGUGAAAUCCCUCGGCUUAACCGAGGAACUGCCCCUCCAAACUGCUUUUACUUGAGGCCGGGAGAGGUGAGUGGAAUUCCCAGUGUAGCGGUGAAAUGCGUAGAUAUUGGGAGGAACACCAGUGGCGAAGGCGGCUCACUGGACCGGUUCUGACGCUGAAGCGCGAAAGCGUGGGGAGCAAACGGG
rnacentral:rRNA from 1 species